rnacentral:lncRNA from 1 species
ACGGUACCAGCUUUAAACACCUGUUAAUUUCCAUAUAUAAUCACGAACGUGUCAAAUCGAUGCAUAACUAUUAUCAACACUGCCAUUUCAUAGUCACUUUUCUCGGCAUUCACGGUUGCUUGUUCAAUGUACAACUUUGCUUCCGAAGAUGGUCAGUGCGAUCCUUACACCCACCUCUUAAUCGAGCUCAUUACGUAUCCUCUCUCCCUUAUUCUAAUGUACAAGAGGAUGUUCGCCGAGCGAUCGUGUAACAUUACCCCCGACAUGUAGUCAACGCAACCUUCUUCAAACCCACAAACUUCUGAACGAUUCCACGGCAUCUUCAAACAUCCACAGUCAUUGAUUUCGAAUCUGAGACCAUAUCAUCAAACUUAGUCCCAUCUGGACUAGCCUCUUGUGAUUUUAAUCAGGACUGUCUUCAGCGCAAAGGGAGUUUUAAACUUUAAUCAGCCACAAAAUUAAUUCUGCGACUGCGACGUAAUUGAUACCUGGGUUGCCAAGAAAAACACCCCUCGUGAUAACCCCAACCAGUUUCUCUCCAUUUUGCUGAUCUCAGCUUGAAACAUCCAACGUCAGCCGUUGCUAGGCAACCGGAAGACAUCUGACCAAGUCAACGAGAGGAGUGACUCUGCGAUGCAGCUCGAUAAAGGUAAUUUGCAAGGCAAUGUUUAACGACAUGCCAAAUAAAUCAAUGAUCAAACAUACCUUGAAAUCAUGUACCUCAUCUUUUUCCUUUCUUUUCCUUCUCGCUUCUUUCUCGCCCGUCCUCCUGUUUCUGCUGCUAGAUUGGAUUUUCGACGACUGGCAUUAUCGACUUUACUUGAGGUGAUGGUUAAAGAUCACCAACUUAGAAUCUAAAAUCAUCAAUAAUGCAAUGAAGGCGAAGCAAUUUGUUUGCAAUACCAUGAGUUACCCCAGAGCCCAAGGUUAUUAACAGCGUGGCUAAAUUACGGGUGUUUUUCUUACAGCAAUAUGAAUUACCUUGUCGUCAGGUGUGAGGCCGAUUGGAGAGUCUUAUCACGUCACCAGAAUUUGUUAGAUCAACUAAUAUGUUUGUUAAAUAUGAGCGUACUAACUAUCGGUGAUAAUGCAAUUGCACGUAACUAAUACGAAUUGAGAUUCUUUACCUACACUCGCAGAUAAUGAUUUACCAACCUAUGGUUAAAAUACGAACUUACCAAUUCGUUGGUUAAAACAAACACGCAUGCAAAAUGAAUUCGGAUUGUUAAACUACACUCGGAGAAUGCUUUACCAACCUAUAACAUGAUUCGAACAAAAGAAAACAAAAACAUGCAAAGUAUGCAAAGUGAUACGUUUCUUUUAAUAUCCUACAUUUCUUAGAUUAGAUUUUUAAAGAUUAUGUUUUAAGCAGAGCCGACGUUUGAUGCAGCAAAUUUUUCUUCUAUAAAAGUAGUGCAUAACAACUCAAUCACCAGAUAAUAUUAUCCAACAACAAAAGCCAAUUAACAGUAACCGGUCCAUAUUCAAUAAACAUGAAAUGAAAAGCUUUGCCAGUUUGUUCCGCGAAAUGAAAGAUUGACGUCAGCCACAUGAAAUAUGCACGCGUAUAUAAUUCAAUAAUUAAUCGGGAAAACACAAAGGGUAAUUUUGAAGUCUGGGCGCACAAUCAAGUAAUGAAUUCCAUAUCGAAAUUGCUUUCUGUUUUCCGCCCUGCAUCAAAUAUUCAUGAAAUCAUGUCGCAUGUAACGUGUGAUGUACCACUUUGUCUUUUGGUGUAUGAAUAUUUGAUAAGAGUGUAUUAUUCACUAUUCCCCGGGUGGGCAUGAAGGACCAUCGCUUUGUCUCAAUCGUGCAAAAACAGCUUUCAAAUUCACGCUAUCAUCAUUACCUCUAUCGCGAAGAAAAAAGUGCUAUUAAAGAUCAAGUCCAUCUCAGAAAAAUGUUGAUUUGAAUCAAUAGAGAAAAAUCAGA